GGGCCCAUAGCUCAGUCGGCAGAGCAGCGGACUCAUAAUCCGCGGGUCCCAGGUUCGAGCCCUGGUGGGCCCA
rnacentral:tRNA from 1 species